AGUGCUUUGUUGAGGCUGAUGCAAUUGCUCUAAGACGUGUGCGGAAAGAAGAUAUAUGUCACGUUGCGAAGGCAACUGGUGCUACACUGGUAUGCCGUUUUCAACACUUCAAUGCAGUUUUUGCCUAUUUUUUAUGACAAACGGAUGCAGUUGGCGAACCUGUUUGGCCAAAUACCUGUUGGUUUCUUUAGCCUUCCCUCUUUGCAAUAUGUGUUCCUUAGUCCCCUCAGUGCGGUUCCCCUCAUACUAAUUUGUGUGUUUGCUCAAAGAUUUUUUGUCCAAUCCCUUCAACUUUUUGUUUGAAUUUCAGAAUAUGUUGUAGGACUCUUUUUCAGCCAAGAAGUCAUUCCCUUGUGCUGUGAAACAUGUGGUCUUAAAGAUCUGAAAGCCCUUGAGUCAAAAUCAUUGGAAUUGAGUGUUGAAGGUGAAGGAGGAAAGAAGGAGUAUUAGAAUGGUUGUCACUCCUCCACUCCUCCAAAAAUAUUGUUGCAUGCAGAAGAAAUCCAGAGGUCUUAGUAGAAGAAGCCGCCAAGAGAAAGAGAAAACGUUGAAUAGAUCUUAGAAGAAUUGAACAACUAAUGUCCAGUCUGUGCUCAUGUAAGACUGUUCCUUUGGCAAGAUUUCCUUGUAAACCAAUCUUGCUUGCGGAGUAUACUCUCUAUAUUUAGUUUAAUUCUAGACUAGGUUUAUGUUUAUAUUUAGGCUAAUUCUGAAAAUGGCUAGCUAUAAGAGCAGAUUAUUUUAUAUCACCUUUAGUGUAUGCUACAGUACAUGUUUUAUAGGUUUUUCUUUUUUCAGUGGUAUUUGUUUUGAAUAAUAGUUGAUUGAUGAGUCCAAAUUUGAUGAUAUAUUUUGACUCAAAUUGGAUGAAUUCUAGCACAUCAACUCACACUUAAGCACUCAAAUAGCACUCAAAUGUGGAAACAUGCUCUUUUGCACUUAUUUUGACUAAUUUUAUUCCGUUUACCUUCCAUUCGAUACCUUGAUGUUAUUUAUGAGUGGUUUUAGAUGAAUAAGGUAGAAAUGGCUUGGAGGGAAUGGAAGAAGAGCAUGCAUUAGGGAGAAAGCAUGAAGAAAACAAAGUAGGAGAGCUCAGCCAUGCGUGUGUGCGCACAAGAAUGCGUGCGUACGCAUAGAAGGAAUCAGCAUGCGUGCGUGCAAACAACUACCCGUGCGUACACACAAGAACCCAAGCAGAGUGAAUCCAGAGCAUCACGAAAGUGUGCAUGCGCACAACCAUCUGUGCGUACGCACAAGUGGAAAUUUGGCGAAGUGUGCGGACGCACACGCCUGUGCGUCUGCACAGGUACUAGCGCAUGCCUCCAUUAAAAAUGCACGUGACUCGCAAUUUUGGGGCUUUCUUGGCCCAUUUUUGAAGGCUUAGAGGCUGAAAUGAAGAGUUAUAUGAAGGAGCAACAACACAUAACAAAGAGAGCCAUCUUAGAAUAGUUUUUAGGAGUAGUUUUAGGGUAGUUAGCUUAGGUUUUCUCUCUAGUUCAUUAGGGUUUUAAUUAGGUUUUCAAUGUAG